rnacentral:rRNA from 1 species
UACGUAGGGUGCGAGCGUUAAUCGGAAUUACUGGGCGUAAAGUGUGCGCAGGUGGCCGCGCAAGUCGAGUGUGAAAUCCCCGAGCUUAACUUGGGAAUUGCGCUCGAAACUACGUGGCUCGAGUGUGGCAGAGGAAGGUGGAAUUCCACGUGUAGCGGUGAAAUGCGUAGAUAUUGGGAGGAACACCAGUGGCGAAGGCGGCUCACUGGACCGGUACUGACGCUGAGGCGCGAAAGCGUGGGGAGCAAACGGG